rnacentral:rRNA from 1 species
GAGUUUGAUCAUGGCUCAGAUUGAACGCUGGUGGCAUGCCUUACACAUGCAAGUCGAACGGCAGCACGGGAGCUUGCUCCUGGUGGCGAGUGGCGAACGGGUGAGUAAUGCAUCGGAACGUAUCCUGGAGUGGGGGAUAACGUAGCGAAAGUUACGCUAAUACCGCAUAUUCUGUGAGCAGGAAAGCGGGGGACCUUCGGGCCUCGCGCUCUUGGAGCGGCCGAUGUCGGAUUAGCUAGUUGGUGAGGUAAAGGCUCACCAAGGCGACGAUCCGUAGCAGGUCUGAGAGGAUGAUCUGCCACACUGGAACUGAGACACGGUCCAGACUCCUACGGGAGGCAGCAGUGGGGAAUUUUGGACAAUGGGGGCAACCCUGAUCCAGCCAUGCCGCGUGAGUGAAGAAGGCCUCGGUUGG